ACUGAUCUUAGCGGCGGACGGGUGAGUAAUGCUUAGGAAUCUGCCUAUUAGUGGGGGACAACAUUUCGAAAGGAAUGCUAAUACCGCAUACGUCCUACGGGAGAAAGCAGGGGAUCUUCGGACCUUGCGCUAAUAGAUGAGCCUAAGUCGGAUUAGCUAGUUGGUGGGGUAAAGGCCUACCAAGGCGACGAUCUGUAGCGGGUCUGAGAGGAUGAUCCGCCACACUGGGACUGAGACACGGCCCAGACUCCUACGGGAGGCAGCAGUGGGGAAUAUUGGACAAUGGGCGCAAGCCUGAUCCAGCCAUGCCGCGUGUGUGAAGAAGGCCUUAUGGUUGUAAAGCACUUUAAGCGAGGAGGAGGCUACUUUAGUUAAUACCUAGAGAUAGUGGACGUUACUCGCAGAAUAAGCACCGGCUAACUCUGUGCCAGCAGCCGCGGUAAUACAGAGGGUGCAAGCGUUAAUCGGAUUUACUGGGCGUAAAGCGCGCGUAGGCGGCUAAUUAAGUCAAAUGUGAAAUCCCCGAGCUUAACUUGGGAAUUGCAUUCGAUACUGGUUAGCUAGAGUGUGGGAGAGGAUGGUAGAAUUCCAGGUGUAGCGGUGAAAUGCGUAGAGAUCUGGAGGAAUACCGAUGGCGAAGGCAGCCAUCUGGCCUAACACUGACGCUGAGGUGCGAAAGCAUGGGGAGCAAACAGGAUUAGAUACCCUGGUAGUCCAUGCCGUAAACGAUGUCUACUA
rnacentral:rRNA from 1 species